ACAGUCAGCUCAGAACUG
rnacentral:snRNA from 1 species